CCUACGGGCGACAGCAGUGAGGAAUAUUGGUCAAUGGGCGCUAGCCUGAACCAGCCAAGUAGCGUGAAGGAUGACUGUCCUAUGUGUUGUAAACUUCUUUUAUAUGGGAAUAAAGUGCAGUAUUUAUACUGCUUUGCAUGUACCUUAUGAAUAAGCAUCGGCUAACUCCGUGCCAUCAGCCUCGGUAAUACGGAGGAUCCGAGCGUUAUCCGGAUUUAUUGGGUUUAAAGGGAGCGUAGGCGGGUUGUUAAGUCAGUUGUGAAAGUUUGCGGCUCAAACGUAAGAUUGCAGUUGAAACUGGCAUCCUUGAGUACAGGAGAGGUAGGCGGAAUUCGUGGUGUAGCGGUGAAAGGCUUAGAUAUCACGCAGAACUCCGAUUGCGAAGGCAGCCUGCUGGACUGUAACUGACGCUGAUGCUCGAAAGUGUGGGUAUCAAACAGGAUUAGAUACCCCAGUAGUC
rnacentral:rRNA from 1 species